GUACUUACCUGGCAGGGGAGAUACUAUGAUCACAAAGGUGGUUUUCCCAAAGCAAGACAUCCGUCGUAUUUUGGAUGUGCUGACUCCUGUGAUUUCCCCAAAUGUGGGAAACUCGACUGCAUAAUUUGUGGUAGUGGGGGAAUGUGUUCAUGCUUCCCCCCA
ensembl:snRNA U1 U1 spliceosomal RNA